GGCAGCAGCCGCGGGAACACCGGCGGCCCGAGUGGUGAUCGUGAUUAUUGGGUCUAAAGGGUCCGUAGCCGGUUUGGUCAGUCCUCCGGGAAAUCUGAUAGCUCAACUAUUAGGCUUUCGGGGGAUACUGCCAGACUUGGAACCGGGAGAGGUAAGAGGUACUACAGGGGUAGGAGUGAAAUCUUGUAAUCCCUGUGGGACCACCUGUGGCGAAGGCGUCUUACCAGAACGGGUUCGACGGUGAGGGACGAAAGCUGGGGGCACGAACCGGAUUAGAUACCCGGGUAGUCCCAGCCGUAAACGAUGCUCGCUAGGUGUCAGGCAUGGCGCGACCGUGUCUGGUGCCGCAGGGAAGCCGUGAAGCGAGCCACCUGGGAAGUACGGCCGCAAGGCUGAAACUUAAAGGAAUUGGCGGGGGAGCACAACAACGGGUGGAAGCCUGCGGUUUAAUUGGACCCAACGCCGGACAACUCACCGGGGGCGACAGCAAUAUGUAGGCCAAGCUGAAGACUUUGCCUGAAUCGCUGAGAGGAGGUGCAUGG
rnacentral:rRNA from 1 species